rnacentral:lncRNA from 1 species
UAAAUUAAUAUAUUAUAAAGAUAAAGUUAGUAUAUUAAUUUGAUUAUAUUUUUUAUAUCUACCUGAACCAAACACCGACAAUGGAAAUGAUUUAUUCCAAUUCCGAUUCAGGUGAUGAACCAAACAAAAUUAGGUAAUGAGUCAUUUCGAUUCCGAUUCCAGCUUAUUUCGAUUCCAAUUCCGACUUCGAACCAAACACGCCCUAAACCUUUAAAUCCUAAAAUCCUAAACCCUAAACAUUAAAUCCUAAAAUCUAAACCCUUAAAGUAUAUAUAUUUUUAAAUAAAAAUAUUUUUUAAAAAAUUAUAAUAGAAUGAAUAAAUUUUAGCAGUACAUUUUAUUUUAUUUUAUUAUUAUUAUUAUUUUUUUAAGAGAUAGGUAGCACGCUAUCCGCUUCCUUUAUUUCAUUUAGAAAUAAAUUUGGCUGGAAAUGUGAAUCAACUAGGAUUCGAACUUGGGACUCGUGUAUCAACUAUCAAGCCCUUUGCCACUUGCUCUAGGGACAGUGAGUCCGGGGGUACGAAGUUG